rnacentral:rRNA from 1 species
ACUCAAAUGAAUAGACGGGGAGCCGCACAAGCGGUGGAGCGUGUUGUUUAAUUCGAGGCUAAGCGAAGAACCUUACCAAGGUUUGACAUCCUAGGAAUUUCUGUGAAAGCAGAGAGUGCCUUCGGGAACCUAGUGACAGGUGUUGCAUGGCCGUCGUCAGCUCGUGUCGUGAGAUGUUUGGUUAAGUCCAUUAACGAGCGCAACCCUUAUGAUUAGUUGGAUUUUUCUAAUCAGACUGCCCCGGCAACGGGGAGGAAGGAGGGGAUGAUGUCAGGUCAGUAUUACCCUUACACCUUGGGCUACAAACGCGCUACAAUGGCUGGUACAAAGGGCAGCGAAGUCGCGAGACGGAGCAAAUCCCAUCAAAGCCAGUCCCAGUUCGGAUUGCAGGCUGAAACUCGCCUGCAUGAAGUUGGAAUCGCUAGUAAUCGCAGGUCAGCACACUGCGGUGAAUACGUUCCCGGCUCUUGUACACACCGCCCGU